rnacentral:tRNA from 1 species
GCGGGUGUAGCUCAGUUGGUUAGAGCAUCAGUUUGUGGUUCUGAGGGUCGCGGGUUCGAAUCCCGUCACUCGCCCCA